rnacentral:rRNA from 1 species
UACGAAGGGGGCUAGCGUUGCUCGGAAUCACUGGGCGUAAAGGGUACGUAGGCGGGGCUUUAAGUCAGGGGUGAAAUCCUGGAGCUCAACUCCAGAACUGCCUUUGAUACUGAGGAUCUUGAGUUCGGGAGAGGUGAGUGGAACUGCGAGUGUAGAGGUGAAAUUCGUAGAUAUUCGCAAGAACACCAGUGGCGAAGGCGGCUCACUGGCCCGAUACUGACGCUGAGGCACGAAAGCGUGGGGAGCAAACAGG